rnacentral:rRNA from 1 species
AACGAACGCUGGCGGCAGGCCUAACACAUGCAAGUCGAGCGCGCCCUUCGGGGUGAGCGGCGGACGGGUUAGUAACGCGUGGGAAUAUGCCCAAUGGUACGGAAUAGCCUCUGGAAACGGAGAGUAAUACCGUAUGUGCCCUUCGGGGGAAAGAUUUAUCGCCAUUGGAUUAGCCCGCGUCUGAUUAGAUAGUUGGUGGGGUAAUGGCCUACCAAGUCGACGAUCAGUAGCUGGUUUGAGAGGAUGAUCAGCAACACUGGGACUGAGACACGGCCCAGACUCCUACGGGAGGCAGCAGUGGGGAAUCUUAGACAAUGGGCGCAAGCCUGAUCUAGCCAUGCCGCGUGAGUGAUGAAGGCCUUAGGGUCGUAAAGCUCUUUCGCCUGUGAAGAUAAUGACUGUAGCAGGUAAAGAAACCCCGGCUAACUCCGUG